rnacentral:rRNA from 1 species
AGAGUUUGAUCAUGGCUCAGGACGAACGCUGGCGGCGCGCUUAACACAUGCAAGUCGAGCGAGAACCAGUCCUUCGGGGCUGGGGACAGCGGCGAACGGGUGAGUAACACGUGGGUAAUCUGCCCUCGGCACCGGAAUAGCCCGGGGAAACCCGGAUUAAUGCCGGAUGGCCUCUCUGCCCUUCGGGGCGGCGAGAAAAGGUAGCUUCGGCCUCCGGCCGAGGAUGAGCCCGCGGCCGAUUAGCUUGUUGGUGAGGUAACGGCUCACCAAGGCGACGAUCGGUAGCUGGUCUGAGAGGACGAUCAGCCACACUGGGACUGAGACACGGCCCAGACUCCUACGGGAGGCAGCAGUGGGGAAUCUUGCGCAAUGGGCGAAAGCCUGACGCAGCGACGCCGCGUGCGGGAAGAAGGCCUUCGGGUUGUAAACCGCUUUCAGGAGGGACGAGGCGAAAGUGACGGUACCUGCAGAAGAAGGUCCGGCCAACUACGUGCCAGCAGCGGCGGUAAUAC